rnacentral:rRNA from 1 species
CCCGGAGACCCUUAGGAAACUAGGGGUGCUUCCAUCUGGAAGAAUCUGGAGACAGGUGGCUGCAUGGCUGUCGUCAGCUCGUGUCGUGAGAUGUUGGGUUAAGUCCCGCAACGAGCGCAACCCUUGCCUUUAGUUGCCAGCAGUUCGGCUGGGCACUCUAAAGGGGACUGCCGGUGUUAAACCGGAGGAAGGUGGGGGAUGACGUCAAGUCCUCAUGGCCUUUAUGACCAGGGCUACACACGUACUACAAUGGCCGAUACAAAGGGCAGCGACACUGCGAGGUGAAGCCAAUCCCGUAAAAUCGGUCUCAGUCCGGAUUGGAGUCUGCAACUCGACUCCAUGAAGUUGGAAUCGCUAGUAAUCGUGGAUCAGCAUGCCACGGUGAAUACGUUCCCGGGCCUU